AAUGACUUCAAACACCCACCCAGAGUUCUGCAGGUGAUGGGUGCCUUUCGGAGGACGCGUCCCCCAGCCUGUCUGAAAAGCAGAGAGGAGCGGAGCCGUGGCAGCUGCUGCUCCCACUAUGCAGGAGGAAACCAACCGUGGUGGUUGUGGAAGAUUUGCAGAUGGGAUUUUCUUCUAAAUCCCACUUUCCCAUCAUAAUGAGACAGUAGAAAUUGUCCUGUCUAAAUUACUGACGCCUGUUUCCCUACGUGGGACAGCAGAAAGAGCUUCGUUACGAAGAAAAGAAGCAGAGGAUGAAAAGAAAGCUGACUACCUGGGCUGCUGCUGGGAUGGGACAUGCUAGAGCUUCUCAGAAGGCCAUUCUAUGAUUCAAUGCAAUGCACCUGAGUGACCCAGAUGUCGUUUAAGGGUUGGCAGUGGAAGCAAGAGCGUCUCUUGCAAGAGAUCCUUGCCUACCUGAAGUCUUCCAAAGCCACUGAUUUUGGCUGCCUUAACUUGGAAAGAUGCCCCCUUGAUGAAUGUGUGAUCUCCUGAUAGCUGGGUGCAGUGCUACCGUGGUCCAGAGCUCUGCAUGAGGCACCAUGAUGUCGCCUGACAAAUGUAAAGAAAGUCCAACUGUUGUUUGCAGUAUUUCAGCAGCUGGAGCCUCACAGGAGCUAUCGCUGUCUGGCUGACACAGAGGCACCAUUCUGG
rnacentral:lncRNA from 1 species